rnacentral:rRNA from 1 species
CAGCCAUUCCGCGUGAGUGAAGAAGGCCUUCGGGUUGUAAAGCUCUUUCGGCAGGGAAGAAACGGACACGGAUAAUACCUGUGUCUAAUGACGGUACCUGACUAAGAAGCACCGGCUAACUACGUGCCAGCAGCCGCGGUAAUACGUAGGGUGCGAGCGUUAAUCGGAAUUACUGGGCGUAAAGCGUGCCCAGGCGGUUUUGUAAGUCAGAUGUGAAAUCCCCGGGCUUAACCUGGGAACUGCGUUUGAAACUGCAAGGCUAGAGUACGGCAGAGGGGGGUAGAAUUCCACGUGUAGCAGUGAAAUGCGUAGAUAUGUGGAGGAAUACCGAUGGCGAAGGCAAGCCCCCUGGGUCGAUACUGACGCUCAUGCACGAAAGCGUGGGGAGCAAACAGGAUUAGAUACCCUGGUAGUCCACGCCCUAAACGAUGUCAACUAGUUGUCGGGGAGGGUGACCUCUUUGGUAACGCAGCUAACGCGUGAAGUUGACCCGCUGGGGAGUACGGUCGCAAGAUUAAAACUCAAAGGAAUUGACGGGGACCCGCGCAAGCGGUGGAUUAU